UCGGCCUCCCAGAGUGCUGGGAUUACAGGCGUGAGCCACCAUGCCCAGCUGGGUAGGGGCUUUUCCCUAUCACCAGGGGGAUCAGCUGUAAGCUUCACAGGAAUCCAAUCAGCAAGGCCCUUGGGUGGGGUGGGGGGGUUCCCUAUCAUUAGUAGGAUAAGCUUCACAUGCAUUUAAUCAGCAAUGAGUUUAGCCAUGGGGUGGGGGGUUUCCCUAACAUUCCCCCCUGUUGAUGCCCUUAUCAGUUUACACAGAGGCAUCAACCUCUCUAUGGAUCUAAUAACUGCAUUGGGCAAGCAGGGUCCCAUGGUUACCAUCAGCGGGCUUGAGGCAAUAGAGCCCCAAGCCUAUUCUAACUCCUGUUUUCUCUUGUGGAUUCUUUCCUUUAGCCCUUUAACUUUAAUAGUUACAAUUCCUGAUUGGUUUACAUAGUAGCAGCAUUCUUUCCCCCAGGAGCACACAAGUCUCCCCCUUUUCAAGUGCUUAUUCUGCAGGGUUUGCCAGCGAGUCUCUGACUCUGGAGAGAUAGCAGGGAUUCCUACCCCAGCUGCCACCCCUCCCCCUAUACUUGAGGGGCAGUUGGUUGUGUCUGUUGGAGCGGGGCCCAGACAGCCCCAACCAAGAACAACAGAGGCACCCCAUGCAGACCCAGAAAGGGUUACCAAGAAGUAAGUUAGUGUUGUGGUGGUCUCUUGGGGCGGAGGCCCAAGAAGACUGUCAGUCCUAUAGGAGUCCAAGCCAGUGGUCCCUUUCAGUCCUCAGCUUCCAGCCAGAUUGAAGGGCAAUCCGUCCUGUCGACUUUGUUGCACCGUCCAAUGGCUGGUCGCGUCAUCUGUCUCGGCUUCUUUCACACCAAACGUGCAUCUUACCCCCAGUAAGGCGAUGCUUAACAUACCUACCCAGAGUAGUUGUGUCUCUUGACAGAGUUUGGCCAACGUAACCUUGAGGGUUCGGUUCAUGCGCUCCACUUUCCCUGAGCUCUGCGGCCUGUCCACAGAAUACCUAAUGCCUUGGAGACGAGAGCUGCUGCCGUCCGUGUCGAGCUCCAGGUCGGGCGCCGGCAACGGACUAUCUUUCAAGUCUGGCCGGCUUGCACAGACCUCCUCCACGGCCUCGGCACAGUCAUGGUCCGGGGGCCCUGGCCCGGUAGGAAGGAAGGUGGCAGGGUUUAAGGUCCGCAGUCUCGAUGGUGACUUGUGGUUUUUCACACAGCAGUCCCUGGCACUGUGCCAGCUGACUGCUAGAAAGCCAUCGGUGCCCUGAUGUGUUCACCAAAGCCACUGCUGUGUGCGGGACCUGCACACAGAUAUUCUGCCCAAGCGUAAGCUUGUCCACCUCCUUGAUUAGCAAGAUGGUUGCUGCCAGUGCUCGCAGGUAAGGCGGCUGUCCCGAUGCUACCGAGUCCAGUUGUUUGGACAGAUAGGCCACUGGCCUCUGCCAGGGGCCCACAGUCUGCGUCAGUACCCCCACAGCUACCUGCUUCUUCCCACCUCUGAGAGCUACCUGUUCAGUUGUAUCAAGCCGGGCCCGGAGCUGCACCGUCUGUUCCAGCGUCCUCUUCAUCCAUUCCAGGUGUGCAGUGUGUCCUGCUCCUUCAGCUCCUCAGCCAUCCUGGCGGCAUCGGUGAUGGCCUUUUUGGCCUUCUCCUCUGCCUCCCGCCUCACCUGGACAGCCUUCUCCACCUCCCCACUCAGCUGGGCCAAACCCACCUUGAGCUGCGUCUUCUGGUUCAGGAGGCCUGUGUUCUGCGAAUGCAGGAGGCUGAGGCACUCGGUGGCCUCCAUGGCCUCCAGUAGCUCCUGCUCCGCCAGCCGUUGACUGCGCUCACCCUGCUCCCGCACAGCCCGCAGCUCCUCCAGCUCAGAAACCAGCAGCGCAGCCGGCGCUCCAGGGCCUGCGCCUGCUCUCGGAGCUCAGCUGCCAGCCGCUGCUCCUCUUCCCGCCCUGCCUGCUCCUCCUUCAGCUGGGCCUGCAGCAGCCGUGUGGCCACCUGGGCCUCUGUGGCCUGCUGGGUAGCGUGGCCCAGCUGCAGCUCCAGGUCGCUGAGGUCACCCUCCAUCUUCUCCUUGAGCCUCAGUGCUUCAUUGCGGGCCCGGGUCUCAGCAUCCAGGGAGGCCUGCAGGGACUCCACUGCCCACUGGUGGUUGCCUCAGGCUAGCGCACUCCUUGUCUUUCUCUGCCAGCUUCUUUUUGGCCUCCUGCAGCUCCUCAGUGUCCUCUUAUGGCGUCUGCCUCAUACUUGCUCAGCAAGGCCCACCCCAAGAGAGGUACUGGACAGUCUGGCAUGUAGAGGACCUCGUGCCUUAUCUGAUGGCCCCCAUUUGGCAUACCCGGGACUGGCAGAAGGGUCUGGCUACCUGAGUCCCAGUAGCUCCGACUGUAGUUAUUUCCCGUUUUGUAAGCCACGGGGGUUGUCAAAAUGAAUGAUCUGCUCCAGUGUCCACCAUGAAUGUCAUUUGUUGGCCCCCUACUUUCGUCUUGACCGUAGGUUCCCUAGGGCCAAGAUUGAAGGAACCCGGUUGGCGCAAUGGUCGGAGUCCAUGCCAGCGAGGCCCACUAGCUCUUGGGCUUACGGUUUCUGUUGGAUAGUCCCAAACGGGGUCCUUCCUUGCGACAGGUGACUUCCCUUGUGGGGGCAUUCAUUCUUCCAGUGGCUAAACCCCUUGAAAUUGGUGCAUUGGUCUCUUGCCAGGGGUGCCCAUCCUCUGGUUCCCCCCUUUCGUGGGGGUCCAGGCCGCUUGGACAGGUGGGGUCUACCGAGGGCAGCAGCCAGGAGGGCGGCCUUUUUCUUCCUCCUCUGAUUUUUCUCCCUCUGAGCAGUCCGGUCUCGGUUGACAUACACCUUCUGGGCCACCUCCAUUAACUGUGUGAUACUCAUGCCUGUAAAUCCUUCGAGUUUCUGCAGCUUCCUCCGGAUGUCGGAGGCCGAUUGCCCGACGAACGCUGCAUUCACUAUUCUCUGGUUUUCGGCUGCCUCUGGGUCAAGAGGGUGUCUGCCAGUGCCCGUUCCUGCAGCCACUUCCGAGUUCCAGUCACUGAAGAGGGUCAGCAGGAGUUGCCGGCAAUCUUCCACGUGGGGCAGUGAGUCUGGAAGACAGACUCCAGGAGGUCGAUGAUGGCCUGCGGUUUCUCGAGUAGGACAGCGUAUGGUGUUUCCAAUUCAGUAGGUCGGUGGUGGAGAACGGCUGAUAAUACAGGGCAGGUUGCCCCGGUUGGAUGGUUCUGUCAUCCCAAACCUGCAGCAGACUUCGCAUUUCAUGCAGAGGCAUCUGGGAGGCCAGGGUAAGGGGUUGGACAGACCACAACCAGCAGACGAGUGGUGGAUAUGCCAGCGGUGGAGCGGGUGUAGUCGGGGUUGCCCGGGAAGGUGGCGUGACUUGUGGGUUGUGAGCCGCUAGAACCCUACUCUGUCCCUUGUCAGCGCAGAACCGAACCUAAGGGGGCAUGGUUUGGGUGAUCUCCAGCAUGAAUCUAUGUAUGGGAAUUGCUCUGGGUGACCCGGAAUCCCAGUCACCACUCUCCAUACUGAACAUAUGAAAUUUAUCAGCAUGCACCUUAGAGCUGUUGGCUUAGAUUCGGACCCUCCCAUUUUUAACUGGUUCAACGAGCGCUCCCGUUCCCUACACCACCAACAACACUUCUUUUCUGAACCUUGUCCCUGCCCAGACUCUGAUCCCUGCUCUGACUUCUCCCCCUUUCUCUUUUGUUGCAAGACAGACAAGACAGACAAGGGGUGGGGGCUUCUUUCAGGUGUCUGCCUGGCUGCGUCCCUCCAGGGAACUUAGGUGCAUCUUGGCUAAGGUGUCCCCGUAUAGAGCCCAGGCCGGUCACUCUCAGUGACGGGGAGUGAAUCGCCAUUAUGCCACCACAGGUUAGGACCAACUCAAACCCCGUAGCUGAAGCUGUGGGGUCACAGACACAAUGACCACAAGCAGUCACUGAGUUCCUUCCACUCACAUAUUCACACAGAGGUUACACAUUCUCUGCCCUGGGGGGUCCCUACCCUUAGGAGGUGUUCAGGCUCCUCUUCUGUGUCGCUGAUGGGCCUGUCCCGGGUGGGUCCUGGGACCUUACCUUGUCCCAUGUCCUGGCCUCUGACUGGUCCUUCCCUGCGGAGUGUCCAGGUGAGUUCGAGGCUCUGCGGCAGGCGGGAGCUCCCAAGGAGAAUUGUAGAGGUCCCGCCGUCCGCCGUGCUAGUCCCAGAUCCGGUGGCUUCAAGGGGCCAACGCAGUUGGCUUUCCCACUCAGGGAACCAAAAUGUUGUGGCAAGUGACCGGCGAUUGACCAGGGAAAGAAGUGAGUGGCACACAGAGGGUAGGAGAAUCAGCUUGUAUUUCGCUGGCGGGCUCAGAGGGGCAUGCCACCAAAUUCUGAGCAACAUUUCCUUAUUUUUUACCAGUCUUAUACAUUUACACAACCAAUCAACUAUUAUCUAAUUAGUAGGAUCAGCCGUAAGCUUUCACAUGUAGUGGAUUUUGCCUUGGGGCACUCGGGCAGGGGCUUUUCCCUAUCAUCAGUAGGAUCAACCAGAAGCUUCACAGGAAUCCAAUCAGCAGUGAGUUCAGCCAGGGGGUGGGGGUUUUUCCCUAACAAAAUAACCUUUAUUAUUAAGUUCUCUGUCUUAUAUGGGCAUGGUUGAUGGUGUCCUAAAACAAUUAGAAUAGUAAUAUCAAAGAUCACUGGUCAUAGAUCACCAGAUAUAAGUAUAAUGAAUAAGUUUGAAAUAUUGUGAGAAUUACCAAAACACAAUACAGAGACAGAAAAUGAGCACAUGCUAUUGGAAAAAUGGUGCUGAUAGACUUGUUCAAUGCAGGGUUGUCACAAACCUUCAAGUUAUUAAAAAAAAAAAAAACCACAAUAUUCAUGAAGCACAAUAAAGUGAAGCACAAUAAAAUGAAGCAUGCCUGUAUAAUGGUUGUGGCUAUGUAAAAAUUGCUUUUGAAUGUGGGAGAUAUGUAAUAAUGAAGAUAGUUGUUUUCAUAGUGUAUGAUUAUGAGUUUAUUUUCUUAAUAAAACAAAUGGAUUAGUUUCUAUGUUUUAUAUGAAAUAGUAAUGUCUGAAUUGUAGUUUUGGAAAAGAUAACUAUUUAAAUGCUUUGCAUGCUUUAGAUAAUUAUAUGAUGAAGAGCACUACUUUAUUUAAAUAAAAUUAUAGUUUUAGUCAAUAUUUUUAAAUCAUUUAUGAUUUCUAAAAUGUAAUUCUCCUUAAUGCAGGUACAAUAGCUUUGCCAUAGUAUUCAGGUAGUUAUAUUAUCAUCAGUCCUAGUCAAAUUAGUCAAGUUCAUUGAUUAUAUUCAUUUUAAAUUGAACAUGAUGUUAUACAUUCUAUUAUAGCGAUUGCCUUCUUCAGUUUUAUAAGUUCAAGUAUUAUAUAUAUAAAUUUUGUGAUUUGUAAGGAAACACAAACCAUAUAAAACACAAAUUUUAAAACUUCUUUUAAAAAAUCCUGUGGAAUAGUUAUAUAUUAGCUCCAUGUUAAAAGUCCUUUUCUCCCAAACUUAGACAACACUCUUGAAUUAUUCAGACAAGCAAAGAUAAGUAAGGAGUCUAAAGAAUGUGGCUUAUUUCAUAACUUUAAAACUUGGACAGUGAUUUGGGAGUGCAGCUUAGUACAAAUCCUUUUCUAAAUAAAAUUCUGCUCCAUUUGCAGCUCUGAACAUGCAGACUGAAGGGCGGCUCCCUUGGCCAGCCUGGCCUCUGUGCACACCUUGGCUGGUCCCGACCUCACCCACGCUGCACGCUGCAGCCAUAUAAAUCAGAUUUGUGACAUGCUGUAAAGUGCAAGUCACAGCUGCUGUAGUCUGCAGUGUUCAAAAACUUUUGAAACACUGCAUGUCCAACUAAACUUAUUUUUUGUGUGAAUUUAAGUUUUUAUUGAGGGUGCUGUUUUUCAACCCUAAUUUUUGACCAAGAAUGAAACUAUUUAAAAAUUAAGAUGCCAACAGAUCACGAAGAGCCCUGUGGUCCUGGUCACAGGUCCUUUUGCCUGAAUGGGGGGAUUUGUUAUGUGAUACCUACUGUUCCCAGCCCAUUUUGUAGGAAGUGAACUGAUGCUGGCUUCUCUUUGUCUUAUUCCAAGUUGAGGCAUGAGAUUUUCCCUGCAUUAGAAGGUUGUUGAGACCUGAAGCCUGGGAAGGUGCAUCGAAAAUUAUACAGGAGCUCGUUGUGAAGAGGUUUUUCUCCCAAGCUCCAGCAUCCAAACUAAAAGCAACCUGUUUGCAGCUUUCGUGGUGAUGGUUGUCCUUCUAAUAACACUUAUCAUUGGAGCCCUCUACUUCCUUUGCAGGAAGGGCCACCUUCAGAGAGCCAGUUCCGUCCAGUAUGAUAUCAACCUGGUAGAGACAAGCCAUACCAGUGCCUACCACAGUCAUGGAGAACACUGAAGAAAUGUCAAAGUGAAUGGAAUCACUGCUUUUAUUUUACAAAGGCAGAAAAUGAAACAACAUAAGGUGAAAGAAAUUAAAAAUUUAACCCUUCAUUUCCUAAAUAAAACACUUGUGUAAGUUGUCAUAUCACAAAACA